rnacentral:rRNA from 1 species
GAACGCUGGCGGCAGGCCUAACACAUGCAAGUCGAGCGGUAGCACAGGAGAGCUUGCUCUCCGGGUGACGAGCGGCGGACGGGUGAGUAAUGUCUGGGAAACUGCCUGAUGGAGGGGGAUAACUACUGGAAACGGUAGCUAAUACCGCAUAACGUCGCAAGACCAAAGUGGGGGACCUUCGGGCCUCAUGCCAUCAGAUGUGCCCAGAUGGGAUUAGCUAGUAGGUGGGGUAAUGGCUCACCUAGGCGACGAUCCCUAGCUGGUCUGAGAGGAUGACCAGCCACACUGGAACUGAGACACGGUCCAGACUCCUACGGGAGGCAGCAGUGGGGAAUAUUGCACAAUGGGCGCAAGCCUGAUGCAGCCAUGCCGCGUGUAUGAAGAAGGCCUUCGGGUUGUAAAGUACUUUCAGCGAGGAGGAAGGCAUUAAGGUUAAUAACCUUAGUGAUUGACGUUACUCGCAGAAGAAGCACCGGCUAACUCCGUGCCAGCAGCCGCGGUAAUACGGAGGGUGCAAGCGUUAAUCGGAAUUACUGGGCGUAAAGCGCACGCAGGCGGUUUGUUAAGUCAGAUGUGAAAUCCCCGGGCUCAACCUGGGAACUGCAUUUGAAACUGGCAAGCUUGAGUCUUGUAGAGGGGGGUAGAAUUCCAGGUGUAGCGGUGAAAUGCGUAGAGAUCUGGAGGAAUACCGGUGGCGAAGGCGGCCCCCUGGACAAAGACUGACGCUCAGG